GGAGCACAGGCGGGGCAUGGAGUGGUGACCCAGUGCCCAGCCAAAGGACAGCAGGGGCCUGUGCUGCCUCUCCCAACACACCUCUGAGUUCGCAACCUCUGGCUCUCACCCAUGGAGAGUGACUCCUGCUUGGAGCUGGCAGCACCCACGUGCUGAGUGUGAGCCUGGCUCGUCUGCUGGCCAGCUUGGAGGUCCGUUUGCAAAACUGAAGUAUGGAGUAGCUAGCAAGUCGGAGGUGGAACAUGCACAAGCGUUGAUCACAACAAAGAGUGAAGCCACUCAUCUGCAUCCUGUUUCCUGGAACAACCGAGCUCAGUUACAACCUCAGUUGCAUCUGUGCAUCCCAGUGGUUUUCAGCUAACUCUGUGACUCCUGCUUACCCAGAUAAGGGGAAGCAGAUGGAGACUCUGCAACCUCAGAAGAAGUGCUGCAGUGGUGGAGAGGGUUCACCUUACUGCCUGCAGUGCAGAGAGCCUCUACAGAGGCACUGACUGUGACACAGGACUUUAUUGUGUCCCGGUGAGGAAAAGGUGUUUUUAUGAGAAGAAGUAAAAACACUUGUAACAACCACAACACUAUUUCAUGGUGUU